rnacentral:tRNA from 1 species
GAGGGUAUAGCUUAAGUGGUAGAGUGCAUGCUUAGCGUGCAUGAAGUCCUGGGUUCAAUCCCCAGUGCCUUCU